UACUUCAACAGUAUUUCUCAGUGCUGAUUGCUUAAAGUAGAAAAGCUUAAAUCAGUUGAACUGUAGAUCCUGCUGUGUUGAGCCCUACUCAUACAAUCUUUCCCCUGGAGUAUGUCUGCAGGUACAACUUACCUGCUCCUGAAAAUGGAAACAAAAUGUUGCUAAAAUUAUAGCUUUGUGUUUGGGCUCAAGUUAGCUUUAUAUCCUUAUCUGUAUGUUAAUAUCAUUGCAGGCAGGGAGAGUGAAAUUGUGUCCUAGGCUGUGUGAAGAGGUUUAAGUAACAGAAGCCUAUGGCAUGGAUGGUAGACAGCCUUUCUCCUUGCAAGCAGAGGAAAAUACAGAAAUUGGAGCAGCAGAAUAUAACAUGAAAAGCUGUAGCAGUAGAAAAAGGCCAGCUGGUUCAACAUGCCAGUCCUUUUA